rnacentral:rRNA from 1 species
UACGUAGGCAGCGAGCGUUGUUCGGAAUUACUGGGCGUAAAGCGUGCGUAGGCGGUGCCUCAAGUUUGGUGUGAAAUCUCCCGGCUCAACCGGGGGGGUGCGCCGAAAACUGAGGUGCUCGAGUGUGGGAGAGGUAAGCGGAAUUCCUGGUGUAGCGGUGAAAUGCGUAGAUAUCAGGAGGAACACCGGCGGUGUAGACGGCUUACUGGACCAUAACUGACGCUGAGGCACGAAAGUGUGGGGAGCAAACAGG